GGGUGUUAAUUGAGGUUGGUGUUGAUGAUUAAAUCAUUGGAAAACUUGGACACACGUUCACCCCCAGAAGUAGUUGCAUGGAAUUGAAUUAAAUAAAGGCCAAGUUGGUAAUGAUUUGUGCGGAUGAACAAUAAAUGUCAGGAUUUUUUUAAACUUUUUGGAAACGGGAAUAAUCAGAGGAUUGAUAAUUGGAAUUUGGAUAUUGUGAAUUGUGAAAACAGAAAUCGCAGGCAGAAGGGAAGGUGGUGGAUAACGCAUUGGAUUAUUAUUUACUAUUAAUAAUAAAAUUGCAGAAGAGAGUUGGGGGAAGAAACUUUAAUGGUGG
rnacentral:lncRNA from 1 species